rnacentral:tRNA from 1 species
GCCCCUAUGGUCUAGUGGACAUGAUAAGAUCCUCCGGAGAUCUUGACCCGGGUUCGAAUCCCGGUAGGGGCA